AUCUGCACAUGUUCAUGACUGCUGGUGCCCUAAUCCCUGCAGGUGAGGUGUUAUGAUUAACCUAGUUUGGUCAUAUGCCUUCUCUCUGCCUAGAACGUGAGUCUGCUAGCAGAAGAAAGUGAUGGCAGAGAUGCCAAGCAGAUAAAAGCAAUAAGUACUUCAGUAAUUGAGGAUCCCACAAAGAAACCACCCAUCAGGGACAACUGACCCUGUGAGGCAGCUACCCUCAGCACAACUUACAAAACAGCCAGGAAGGAAGUCAUACACCUGUCCCAAAAGCAGAAACCAGGCCAAACAGAAAAUUGAUACCAAAAACUGUUACCUACGGCAGCAAUUUGAACAAACAAUGGGAAAAGUUCUACCAAGACAAAGUUUUGAAUAAGAAGACCCAUGACUCUGACUUCCUCUCAACCCUGUGCAGGAUGCUGAAACACUGAACUGGUGAUUUAAACCCACAUAAUGAAGGACUCCCACAGCAGCCAGGCCAGCCAUCUCACCACUGGCCUGAUGACUCCCAGCUCCCAGGGCUCAACUGAAACCUCAGAAAUAACUCUCUCUGCACAGCUGAAGGGACACCUGGAACACGGUGGUCCAAGUUGAGGACUUCAUCAUUUUCACCCCUCAAGAGAGUGAGUUAUCCUACCAAAGGGAUAGCCAGAUGUCCUCACAUCAGUGAAUAAUCAGUUUUUCCCUCAAUUGUUUGAAAUGUCACAUCCAUCAUAUACUCCUUUGCAUUGUAUAUUGAUUCCUUUCUGGACUCCUGGUUCCAAAUGACCAAAUGGACAUUUAUCUGCCACUGUUGAUUUUAUAAAAUAUUUGAUAUCUGCAGGGCACCUAAUUGUCUUAAUAUUCUUCUUUUUCAAUAACAUCCCUUUUCUCUUCUGGAUAAAUUUGAGAAUCAACUUGUCAAAUUAAAAAAAAAAAAAAACCCAGUUGGGCCAGUUGAUAGAGCACGUGUGACUCUUGACCCCAGGGUCCUGAGUUCCAAG
rnacentral:lncRNA from 1 species